AUUGAACGCUGGCGGCAGGCCUAACACAUGCAAGUCGAGCGGAGCGGCGGACGGGUGAGUCAUGCCUAGGAAUCUUCCUGGUAGUGGGGGAUAACGUCCGGAAACGGGAGCUAAUACCGCAUACUAUCAGAUGAGCCUAGGUCGGAUUAGCUAGUUGGUGGGGUAAAGGCCUACCAAGGCGACGAUCCGAGACUGGUCUGCUAGGAUGAUCAGUCACUCUGAAAAUGAGACACGGUCCAGGACCCUACGGGAGGCAGCAUUGGGGAAUAGUGGACAAGUGGCGAAAGCCUGAUCCAGCCAUGCCGCGUGUGUGAAGAAGGUAUUCGGAUUGGAAAGCACUUUAAGUUGGGAGGCGUUACCAACAGAAUAAGCACCGGCUAACUUCGUGCCAGCCGCCGCGGUAAUUC
rnacentral:rRNA from 1 species